rnacentral:lncRNA from 13 species
AUGGGUUCCAGGAAUCCUGUGGCUGGUGACGCCCCAGAAGGUAAUUCCAGUGAGAAUGAAGUUUCCACUGAUAGCCACAGUGCUCUUCCUUCCGCACUUUGGGAGUGGAUAUUGGGGAUGCCUGGGGCUAGGGGCGGAUCCGUGGCUCACUCAGCGAAGCUAAUGGAAACCCAAGCAGAACAAAGGGCAAACAGCCGCGGCAGUGGAAAGAGGUGGGGUCUUAAAGGAAGAAGGACCCAGAAAUCCGCCAGACACGGAGGACGCCGUGGGGAAAGCUCAGAGCUAGAGUGGGCGGAUCUAGCAGAAACCCUAAGUGUAAAGGUUAAGUGUCACCCAAAAAGUCCUGGGAAAUGUGGUCGGUGUGGGCUCUUCCCUAGCUCGGGCCACUUCUCACUACCGGGAAACCCACACCGGUUCUCACGCCCACCCUCCGUGAGAGAUCGGAGCUCUCCAUCUCCCCUACGCCGCCCCACGCCUUUUCCCCACGACCCGACCAGGCUCGCUUUGCUCCAGCAGGGGAAGUCCAUCCCUUCCCCGAGGGCAUCGACGGGCCCGGCUCUCACCGUCCCCGGGGGCGCCUCUCCUCUCAGCUGGGGGGCCAGUGGACUCCGAGCCGCCCCUAGCCUGCGGCUGCCUGCCCACCAGCAGUCCCGGGCUGUGAGCUCACAUCCUGUGCUCGCUGACUCCGCCCGGAAUGCGGCCCAGCCCUGCUGGCUAUGCAGCCUGAGACUACAAGGCCCAACAUUCCUAACGCUCUAUCCGGGAAGGGUGGAGGCGGAAUCCCCCGAGAGUCUUCGCGGUAAGAGAAGGGCAAAGCCACUUCCGGCGGCCUUGCCGGCGCUAUGGUCAGGUCUUGUAGGCCUGACUUCCCCGCAGGCCUCUGUUUCCCAGCAGGCUCCGUGGCAUGGGGGCUGUAAGUGCUUCCGGGGUCAGGAAGGUAGUGACGUCGUGGGUAAACGGUUCUGUAGCCGUGGCAGCGGCCCUAACAGGCUGACUGGGUACCGGCUACUGCCGACCCGGGAGAAGUUGCCGUCUACAUCAGCCUGGGCUGCAGUGCGCUGCCGCUGCGGGGCCAGCAGGUAG